rnacentral:rRNA from 1 species
CCCAGACAGCCAGGAUGUUGGCUUAGAAGCAGCCAUCAUUUAAAGAAAGCGUAAUAGCUCACUGGUCGAGUCGGCCUGCGCGGAAGAUGUAACGGGGCUAAACCAUGCACCGAAGCUGCGGCAGCGAACGUAUCACCCAAGACAACUUUACGGAGUUGACGAUUGACGGAGCGAAGCGACGUCAAAGCGUUCAUUAAAGUCGAGUUGGCUUAGGGAUACGUUCGUUGGGUAGGGGAGCGUUCUGUAAGCCUGUGAAGGUGUGUCGUGAGGCAUGCUGGAGGUAUCAGAAGUGCGAAUGCUGACAUAAGUAACGAUAAAGCGGGUGAAAAGCCCGCUCGCCGGAAGACCAAGGGUUCCUGUCCAACGUUAAUCGGGGCAGGGUGAGUCGACCCCUAAGGCGAGGCCGAAAGGCGUAGUCGAUGGGAAACGGGUUAAUAUUCCCGUACUUGGUGUUACUGCGAAGGGGGGACGGAGAAGGCUAUGUUGGCCGGGCGACGGUUGUCCCGGUUUAAGCGUGUAGGUGUGUGUUCCAGGUAAAUCCGGUUCACUUUAACACUGAGGCGUGACGACGAGGCACUACGGUGCUGAAGCAACAAAUGCCCUGCUUCCAGGAAAAGCCUCUAAGCAUCAGGUAACACGAAAUCGUACCCCAAACCGACACAGGUGGUCAGGUAGAGAAUACCAAGGCGCUUGAGAGAACUCGGGUGAAGGAACUAGGCAAAAUGGUGCCGUAACUUCGGGAGAAGGCACGCUGACACGUAGGUGAAGUGAUUUACUCAUGGAGCUGAAGUCAGUCGAAGAUACCAGCUGGCUGCAACUGUUUAUUAAAAACACAGCACUGUGCAAACACGAAAGUGGACGUAUACGGUGUGACGCCUGCCCGGUGCCGGAAGGUUAAUUGAUGGGGUCAGCGCAAGCGAAGCUCCUGAUCGAAGCCCCGGUAAACGGCGGCCGUAACUAUAACGGUCCUAAGGUAGCGAAAUUCCUUGUCGGGUAAGUUCCGACCUGCACGAAUGGCGUAAUGAUGGCCAGGCUGUCUCC